rnacentral:rRNA from 1 species
AUUGAACGCUGGCGGCAUGCCUUACACAUGCAAGUCGAACGGUAACGGGCCUUCGGGUGCCGACGAGUGGCGAACGGGUGAGUAAUACAUCGGAACGUGCCCGAUCGUGGGGGAUAACGAGGCGAAAGCUUUGCUAAUACCGCAUACGAUCUACGGAUGAAAGCAGGGGACCGCAAGGCCUUGCGCGGACGGAGCGGCCGAUGGCAGAUUGGGUAGUUGGUGGGAUAAAAGCUUACCAAGCCGACGAUCUGUAGCUGGUCUGAGAGGAUGAUCAGCCACACUGGGACUGAGACACGGCCCAGAACCUACGGGAGGCAGCAGUGGGGAAUUUUGGACAAUGGGCGCAAGCCUGAUCCAGCCAUGCCGCGUGCAGGAUGAAGGCCUUCGGGUUGUAAACUGCUUUUGUACGGAACGAAAAGCCUUCUUUUAAUACAGGAGGGUCAUGACGGUACCGUAAGAAUAAGCACCGGCUAACUACGUG